GUAUUAGAUUGCUAGAGAGGAUGCGGAGGAGGAUGACAGGGGGAGUUCCUCUUCCGGCUCAGCCACGGGAGGUUGAUGGCGUCGGCGGAGCCUCUUGUGCUGCUUGGAGGGUCGAAGCGGCUCCUGGGAGACAAAGAGGAUGGCAAUAAGACCACUCUGGAAAAUUGAGAACAAGCAACACUGGGGAAAAAAACAAAGCCAGCAAGAAAUCAAAACAUUUUCCAUUUCCUUCAGAAAACCACAAAAUUCUUCUCCUUUCCCAGCAGUUGAGAGAAAAGCAGAGAAAAUUAAGAGAAUUCAAGCAAGAAAAAGUA